rnacentral:rRNA from 1 species
CCUACGGGAGGCAGCAGUAGGGAAUAUUGGUUAAUGUGCGAAAGCGCGAACCAGCAACGCCGCGUGUGCGAUGAAGGCCUUCGGGUCGUAAAGCACUUUUUGCAGGGACGAGGAAGGACGGUACCUGCAGAAUAAGUCUCGGCUAACUACGUGCCAGCAGCCGCGGUAAAACGUAGGAGACGAGCGUUAUCCGGAUUUACUGGGCGUAAAGCGCGUGCAGGCGGCAUGGCAAGUUGGAUGUGAAAGCUCCGGCUCAACCGGGAGAGGCCGUUCUAUACUGCAGAGCUAGAGGAUGGUAGAAGGGAAGCGGAAUUCCGGGUGUAGUGGUGAAAUGCGUAGAUAUCCGGAGGAACACCAGUGGCGAAAGCGGCUUCCUGGUCCAUUUCUGACGCUCAGACGCGAAAGCUAGGGUAGCAAACGGGAUUAGAGACCCCGGUAGUCCUAGCCGUAAACGAUGUGAACUAGGCGUCGGCGGGUUCAAAUCCGUCGGUGCCGCAGCAACGCGAUAAGUCUACCGCCUGAGGACUACGGCCGCAAGGUUAAAACUCAAAGGAAUUGACGG